rnacentral:rRNA from 1 species
GGAGCACAGCAGUGAGCGAGAAUUAGAUCUUGCUCUUUGAGGUUAGCGUCGGACGGGUGUACCUGCCUUGGGGAACCUGACCGUCACACUGGAAUGACUCCGGUACCACCGGGAGCUUAUCCGCGUAUAACUGUUUUGAACUGCAUGGGACGAAUUUGACUUGCGAUUUCCCCUGGCACUUUUAGAUGGACCCGCGAUCGCACUACCUAGUUGGGGAAGUAUCCGCUCCCCACCGUGACAGAUGCAUCGCCCACCUUGGAACUGGAACGCCCACCCUGCUCCUGAGACACGGACCAGAGUCCUACGGGAGGCAGCAGUGGG